rnacentral:rRNA from 1 species
UACGUAGGGUGCAAGCGUUUGUCCGGAAUUAUUGGGCGUAAAGAGCUCGUAGGCGGUUUGUCGCGUCUGCUGUGAAAACCCGAGGCUCAACCUCGGGCCUGCAGUGGGUACGGGCAGACUAGAGUGAUGUAGGGGAGACUGGAAUUCCUGGUGUAGCGGUGAAAUGCGCAGAUAUCAGGGGGGAACACCGAUGGCGAAGGCAGGUCUCUGGGCAUUAACUGACGCUGAGGAGCGAAAGCAUGGGGAGCGAACAGG